rnacentral:rRNA from 1 species
AUUGAACGCUGGCGGCAGGCCUAACACAUGCAAGUCGAACGAGUGGCGGACGGGUGAGUAAUGUCUGGGAAACUGCCUGAUGGAGGGGGAUAACUACUGGAAACGGUAGCUAAUACCGCAUACCAUCAGAUGUGCCCAGAUGGGUUUAGCUUGUUGGUGGGGUAACGGCUCACCAAGGCGACGUUCCCUAGCUGGUCUGAGAGGAUGACCAGCCAAACGGGAACUGGGACAGGGUCCAGACUCCUACGGUGGGCAGCAGUGGGGAAUAUUGCACAAGGGGCGCAAGCCUGAUGCAGCCAGGCCGGGUGUAUGAAGAAGGCUUUCGGGUUGUAAAGUACUUUCAGCGGGGAGGCGUUACCCGCAGAAGAAGCACCGGCUAACUCCGUGCCAGCCGCCGCGGUAAUAC